CAUCUCUGAAAAAAGUGACAAGAACAGAUCGAGCAUAUAAACAUGUAGGUAAACAGUGUAUACAUGUGAGUCUAACCUUCAGUAAAGUUUAUAAAUGACAUACAUAUAUCAAACAUAUGAAUAAAUGCUGCAUUUUAAUUACCUUCGUGGUUGUUGAUUUGACUCUCUGGUUCCCUCCAAUACAGAGCUAGUCCUACCAGUAGCACCAGUACCACACCUGUGACUGAGGAGAGCCUCCCUGGUCCUGGUUUCUACUGUCUGGGAUGGUGAGAGGUGGUGGAGUCGUACCUGCAGGUAAAACAGACCCAGUCAGUGGAACAGAGGAAACAGGAGGCAGCAUGUAAGAUGUGUGUCUGCAGGUAAAGCUCACCGCUGGUGAAAUCACACACAUCAGUGUAGUCUGGUUAUGAAAAACAAAUAGAGGUUAUAUUCACAAAUACACACAAACAUUUGAACAAUGACAGUGAUUUGAAGAAAAUAGAAAAGCAGAUCAUGUACAGUGAGUACAUGGUACCUGUACAUCGUUGGGUCGUGAUAUGGCCAGUAUUUUCAAACUCGCAUUGACCAGAUGUGUUAGUGGACACAAACGCCAGACCACCUCGCUGGCAGACGGUGUUUGGAGGGGGGGCACCUGUGCACUCGUCCAUGGGGGAGUUAAAUGGGACUGGCUCAUCGUUACAAAACACUGUGGUCACUUUUAGGGCACAGCCAUUUUCUUUGCAGUAAAAUGGAGCAGUUGUGUUUCCACCUGUAACAUCAUAGAAAGCGUGAUUAAUAAUGUGUCAUUUUUGCGCGCGCAAAAUCGUGGUCUCGUCCAGGGCGCCAAACUGGCCAGGACCGCCCCUGAGUGCAUGACAUGAAGAGAAGACGCACCUGAACGUCCUGGGAGACACUGGCAGAGCGCACCCAGCACCAGGAACACGGGAACGGCCAACUCUGUCAAGACAUAGGUUUAUUUUAGACUCUCGGUGGAAACAGUUUAGUGAAACACAGUUUAGUGACAAUGAAUGGACAGAAACGUACUUUUCAUGGUGAGGAUUUUAGUUAUUUUGGAAUCAGCAACACUGCCCGCCUCUGUCUCUGGAAGAACGGUUCCGGUUCUUUUGGACCUGUUGUGUCAUGGACAAGUUUUCUCUUAGUGCCGCUCAACCAUUCUACAGUUUCUGCGUCUCAGUCUUAUGGCGUUAGGUGGAAAUGUAUCGUCCUGAAAUGACAGCGAUCAAAUGUGUGUUUGCUUGUCGUGCUUCUUGCUCCACGUUUCAAUCAUUCGUUUCAACAUUUUCCCUCAAUGUGGUGUGACGCUGCUACGUGAAACGUGACACCUCAGCUGGCGGCACGGGGACCUGGGAGUGUUUUUCAGUUUUAAGAGCUCCUCCCACGCGAGGCAUUUCACUAUUAACCCAUGUGCAGUCUGCACCUCGAACACAACAGCCGGCUCAGUCAAAACAUACACAAACCAAGUUAAGACUCUGGUGAAUGGUGUAAAACACAUUUUAUUCGUCACGAAUGGACGGAAAUUAGUUUUUCAUUCUAGGGAUUUUACUGUAGUUGCUUUUUGCGGCGCAUCAGCCGGUUUCUCACAAAACCUCACAAAACAGCUUUCUGUAGGUCUGAGUCAUAUAGCGUCGAGUACGAUAUGUCACUGAACUUCUUUCCAGAAUCAGAGAUGAGAUUGUUGCGUUUGCAGAAACACUGUGCUAAAACGUACAUAAGCACCUGUAACAAACUCCAUUACGCGUUGACCAGACACCAAUAUGUCGGACGAAGCUGAGGUUGGCCUCCGAGCCGAGACGAUUUCGAAAUGAUUAUCAGAUAAUGUUUUAUUGGAUAGUCUUACCUGAAAAGAGAUCAGAGCAGGUACAGUAGAAUCCACAAUCAGCUGUCAUGCACUCCGGCGUUAAAAGAACGAAUGUCUUCACUGAGCGACCACUCCUACUUCCUUCAAAAUAAAGGUAUACAAUGAUCUGUUCAUUGCUAAAAUUUUACAUUUUGAUCUAAAUACUCAUUCUUCUUCGUGUAAUGUUUUUUUUUUCUAUAUUUUUACUGUUAGGAUGAAGUCAGCGAUACUUACUACAUAUAAUACUUACUACAUUUAUUUAAUGAUUCUUUAUUUUGAAAUAACUGUUCCCGCUGUGGGCGGCAUGAUGCUGCGGUGGGAAGCACUGUCGCCUCACAGCAAGAAGGUUCCCGGGGGCGGCCCUGGUGCCUUUCUGUGUGGAGUUUGCACGUUCUCCCCGUGUUUGCGUGGGUUCUCCGGCUUCCCCCCACAGUCCAAAGACAUGCAUUAGGUUGAUUGGACUUUAUUCGUCUCACGAUGGGGAAAUUAUUUUUUCUGCAGCAGCAAUGAGACAUGAAAUGGGACAAACAGUACAGCACUACAAUGAAAGAACAGUAGAUAGAACAGACGGCAGCAGUAUUAACUAUACGAGAAAUAAAACCGUAAUCAGGCAAAUCAAAUAAAAAAAAAGUUUGUAAAAAGUUAAGUAAAAUUUUCAUAUUGCACGACAACGAUAAUAUAACAAGUGAAUGCCAGAGUAUAAAAACAACGACAGAACAGCAGCAACAGGCAACAAACAACAACAACGAGCGGAAUGGAAUACACCGUGUGGGAACAUUUUCUUAUGUAUGGUUCAGUUGUAUGUUUAACUACUUUAAAAGUUACAUUUUGCGCUGCUGUAUGUGAUGAUAUAAUAUGAGACAUGUAUUUAAUCAUAUUCAUGCCAAACAACAUAACCCAGUAUAAAAAAUGUUUAUAUGUUUAUUUAUAACAUGUAAUGAGCCACAGUUAAUAGAAAUAUUAAAUGUUUCAAAUACAUGCUCAGGAAACAUUAAUGUGCAUUAAAAUUCUACCCAGGCCCAAAACACCUAUAUAGAAAAAUGUAAUUUAAAAAUUUCCGCUUGAACGGAAAUCCAUCCAGAAUUUUGGAGUCACAAUAAUCAUUCACUUAUUAUCUUUUUUGUUGAAGAUAACUUGUUUAAGAUGUCCAUGUUGUUUUGAAGGGUUUGAUGAGACCAAGGUCAUGGCUUUGACCAGGCAGGUGUCCUGCAUCGAUGACCUCCGGCCUCUUGGGUUGUCCUCAGCUUUGCCGAUCACAGAGGAGAUUUCCAACAUCUGGCUCUCGGAGUUGAGCAUGUUUUGAAGCUGAAUCCGUUGUUUCAGUAGCCUGGGGGUUGGUGUUGAGUAGAGUGUUGGUCUGGGAAGCAGGAGAUCGCCUGUUUGGACCCUGAUGAUCCCACUUUUUACAAAAUGUUGUUUACUUGAUUUACUUGAUUACGGACACAUUUCAUCUGCACUUCUGCUCACAUUCUGUCAUAUAUGGCUGAACAUGAGCAAAGUUUAGCCCCAUAUACUGUCACAAAUGGUCCCUAGAAGUCUGAUGUGACGUUUGAACCCUGUUCUAUCUCCGCUUCUGGGACCAGGUGUGUCCUUGAGCAAGACACGUUAAAAGACACUCGGACUGGCUCAUAAUUACAAAACACUUUAUCCGCGUUUGAGGCACGACCAGGUUCUGUGCAGUAAAACCGAGCAGUUGUGUUUCCAUGUGUAACAUCAUAGAGUGUGAUUAAAUAUGUAUCAUUUUUGAAUCGCAAAUGUAACGACAUCAAGAGAAAACACACCUGAACCUGCUACAAAACACCAGGAGAGCGGUGCACACAGCACCAGGAACACGAGAACGGCCAGUAAAGACACACAGGUUUACUUAAGACUCUCGGUGGAAAACUGACGGUGAAUGGACACAAACUUACGUUUAAUUUGCGCGUUUUCAUCAGCAACAUCGCUCUCCUCUGUGUGAGAUGAACCGCUCCAGUUAGACUUCCCGUUGGACCUCUUGUCUGACUGACUUCACUUUCUGUACGUGUCGAUCAUAUGGCGUCAGGUGGAAAAGUGUCCCGAAUAACGUCCUAAAAUGACAGCGAUCUUUUUGUUUGCUGGCUGCGACGGCUCUUUGUUCUUUAGCCACGUUUCAUUCUAUUGAAUCCAAAAAUUUCAAUUCAUUAAAUUGCCGUGACAUCUCUUACAAUCUAGAACUAACAACGAAAAACGUUCGGCUCCCUUUAGUGCAAUUACAACGAAUUUACUGUAUGACGUAGAGUCAUAACAUAAACAAACCACACGCUUCCACUAACAUUGGAAUACGCUAUAGUGAUCAGCGGAUCAGCACCGGUAUGUUAUUCUAAGCCCGUAACAACGUGAACCGGACGAAGCUGAGUAGCUUUAAGCACAUUAACUACAAGUGUAGUGCCGUUUUAUGUUUUCUUACUUCAAUAGUUAUAUUUCCUGACGCUCUGUGUUGAUGUAACAUGAGCUGUGUAUUCUUCGUAGCUUAUAAAUACUUUUAUAUGUGGUGUAUGCGACAGUGUCUUCUCACUGACCAAACAGGGAUGUUGAAACUUGCUCCAUCUUCCUUAAGCUCUUUGCUUUUGAAAGGUUAACGCUUUUGGUGGGUUUUUGUCAACCUCCCAUUUAUUUUUUUAAAAUCCGUUCAUGCAAAUUUUACUGAAUGUGAGUAGAAUUUAGCCUGCUCUGAAUUUGCAACUUGUUGUAAACCUUAUUUAAAUUCAUGAAAACGUCUCUUAGAUACUAAAUAUUAGUUUCAUAUCUGAUUUCUACUCCAGACAAUUUAUCUGCUACAUUACAUCUGACUAAUACUUUUACUCACUUUGUUUGGUCAACUUUCACUCCAUGUUCUACACACUGGAAGGUACAGUACUACAUAAAGGAAGGUACCUUUCUUCAAACAGUUGUUUUCAUCAGAAAAAGCAAAAUCAGUCUCUCGUCUAUGUGAUGUCUUCAUGUUCCGCUGUCUGUGUGGGUUCAGGCUUCCUCCCACAGUCCUGAGACAAGCAGUCAGUCUAAGUGGAAAGGUCCCUUUUUAACAGUCAACUGCAGUAUUGCUAUAAAAAAGUGAGAAGAACAGACUAUAUAAAUAUCUUAAUAAACAUUGUAUAAAUAUUUUAAGUAACUAUAAUCAGUAAAGUGUAUAUUAAAUAAAGGCAUAAACCAAGAGAUAUAAACAAACGUGAAUAAAUGAUUGAUUUUUAAUUACCUUUGUGACUGCUUAUUUGACUAAGUAUUUCAUUCUUUUUCAAUGGAGAACUAGUCCUAACAGUAGUACCAAUACUACAUCUGUGACAAAAGAGAUGAAUAUAUUUUUAAAAAGUGUUUAAAAAAAGUCUAAUUUCACUUGCUAGUCAGCUGUGGUUCUGUGCAGUAAAACUGUUCUGUGCAGGUUCUGUGCAGUAAAACAGAGUAGGUGUGUUUCCACCUGUAAUCAUAAAGAGUGUGAUUAGUCUCGUUUUUGACUUAGUUACUGUAACGACAUCAAUAUAUGACGCACCUGAACCUACUGGAAAACACCGGGAGAGCGCACACAGCACCAGGAACACGAGAACAGCCAGUUCUGUCAAGACACAAGUUUAAGUCUCUGGUGGACGACAAGGUUUAGUGACGAUGGAUGGACAGAAACUUACCUUUCAUUCUGGAGAUUUCUUUUUUUUUAGUAUCAGCAGUUCUGCCCUUCCGCUGUCCCUGGAAGACGAUUGAUUUCCGUUAUUUGCUAACGUCCGAAGCCGCUCUAUUUGGACGGUUACUGUGGGUGACGCAAUUGUAGCCCUUAACCCUUAACCAUAGACUCCUGUCUCAGUCAUGUGACGUUAAGUGGAAAAUAUCCACGAAAGCGUCCUAAAACGACAGUGAUCAGAUGUUUGUUCGCACAUCCAUGUCUUAUUCUCAUUCUCUCACACUUGUCUCCUCUUGUUUCUUGUCUAAAACUAACAUUACACUCAUCUCUUUUAAGUGCACUAACAAUCUAACGCUACAUAGCGGAAAUAACGGCGGGUAACAAGCAGCAAACUCCGGUCCUGCCAUGAACCGAACCAAGUUGAGCUCGGCCUCCGAGUCGAGAUUAUGUAAUAAGCAGAUAACGUUUGAUUGUUUUAUGUUACCUGAAGACAUUGUUGCAAAUCUCAGGUGUUGAUCAGCCGGCGACUCUUAAAGGAAGUCCCUCUGUCGCCUGUCUCUCACCGCUCUCCCGCACCCAACGCCUUAAGUCAGACAGAUAGACAGUUGGUGCAUUUUUGUGUUGUGGCUUUAAUGGCUCCAUUUCCUGCCUAGUUACCAUUUUCUAGGUCAUGACAUAACAUGUUUUUUGUAACUUUUUAAAUACUUUUAUCCCUGGUGUAAUUCCUCACUGACCAAACAAAUUAGCUCCAUCUUCAUU